CCUACGGGUGGCAGCAGUGGGGAAUAUUGCACAAUGGGGGGAACCCUGAUGCAGCGACGCCGCGUGAGUGAAGAAGUGCCUAGGUGUGUAAAGCUCUAUCAGCAGGGAAGAAAAAGACGGUACCUGAGCAAGAAGCCCCGGCUAACUACGUGCCAGCAGCCGCGGUAAUACGUAGGGGGCAAGCGUUAUACGGAUUUACUGGGUGUAAAGGGAGCGUAGACGGCGAAGAAAGUCUGAAGUGAAAGCCCGCGGCCUAACCGCGGAACUGCAUUGGAAACUGUUUUGCUUGAGUACAGGAGAGGUAGGCGGAAUUCCUGGUGUAGCGGUGAAAUGCUUAGAUAUCAGGAGGAACACCAGUGGCGAAGGCGGCUUACUGGACUGUAACUGACGUUGAGGCUCGAAAGCGUGGGGAGCAAACAGGAUUAGAUACCCCAGUAGUC
rnacentral:rRNA from 1 species